UACGAAGGGGGCUAGCGUUGUUCGGAAUUACUGGGCGUAAAGCGCGCGCAGGCGGUUCUUCAAGUCAGAGGUGAAAGCCCAGAGCUCAACUCUGGAAUGGCCUUUGAGACUAGAGAACUAGGGUACGGGAGAGGUGAGUGGAAUUCCGAGUGUAGAGGUGAAAAUUCGUAGAUAUUCGGAAGAACACCAGUGGCGAAGGCGGCUCACUGGCCCGUUACCGACGCUCAGGCGCGACAGCGUGGGGAGCAAACAGG
rnacentral:rRNA from 1 species